rnacentral:rRNA from 1 species
CCAAGGCUUGACAUAUAGAGGAAAAGUGCAGAAAUGCACUCCCCGCAAGGUCUCUAUACAGGUGGUGCAUGGUUGUCGUCAGCUCGUGUCGUGAGAUGUUGGGUUAAGCCCCGCAACGAGCGCAANCCUCGUCCUAUGUUGCCAGCACGUUAUGGUGGGAACUCAUGGGAUACUGCCGGGGUCAACUCGGAGGAAGGUGGGGAUGACGUCAAAUCAUCACGCCCCUUAUGUCUUGGGCUUCACGCAUGCUACAAUGGCCGGUACAGAGGGCAGCAAUACCGCAAGGUGGAGCGAAUCCCAAAAAGCCGGUCUCAGUUCGGAUUGAGGUCUGCAACUCGACCUCAUGAAGUUGGAGUCGCUAGUAAUCGUGGAUCAGCAACGCCACGGUGAAUACGUUCCCGGGUCUUGUACACACGCAAUC